GGGCUGGAUUCGGGCGAUCCUCAAUCACUUUUGGUUCUCAUGCUCAUCUUGUGGUGAGAGUGCUGAGGAACUGAAGCGACGGUGGACCUCAGUCCUCCACCACAUCUGUGGGGAGCACACAUGGGAGCAAGAUGGAAGAAAGUGGGCAUGCCCUCACCCUGCUCUCAACCCAGAUCAGCAAAGGACAAAGCGAUGGCUCCAGCCAGAGUCUCAAGUGUUCAAGUCUUUACGGAAUAUUGUUGAAGAUAAAAGACUUCUGAAAGACCUUGAGCAGAUGACUCGCUUCAAACAUACAGGAUCUUUGGAAGUGUACCACAACGUUAUGCUAAAAUAUCUGCCGAAACGACUGCAUUUUCAGUACGACACCAUGGUAGCCCGAACACAGCUAGCCAUCCUGGACAACAAUUACAAUGUCGGCCGACAGCAGACAGAGACUUCAGAAGGACUUCCAAGAUACAGUAUGGUGUUCCCAAAACAGAGCAAGGAAUGGGUAGCCAAGAAGAUCUAUGAGCCUACUAGUCAGUACUUCACGCAACACCUUGUGAAACUCGUGUUGGAGAGAAGGGAGGAAAGAACACCGGAAGACAUUCCACAUGUCCAGCGGCCUGCAAACAUUGCCACUAAGGAGAGACCCCCCAAGGAAGAUUUAAUCAGGAAACAUCAAUCCAGAUUCCCUCGCCACACUGAUGUUUGAAAAACCAAGGAUCCAGAUUGUAAAUUUGUUUAUAUGUCAGAAUCAGAAUCACUUUUAUUACCCCUUAUUGUACAGUAGGCUACACAAGAGCAAAAUUAUUAGGCUUGGUUCCUCAGCAUACACAUAGCUGCAAGAAAAAAAUAUAAAAUAAGUAUAAAAAUAAAUAAGCAUAAAAGUAGCAGCAUUAAUAAUAAUAAAGUAAUGAGGUGUAAUAAAGAGUGAAGUGUAGGGUGUUCAAGUGGUAGUGUUGUAAACGUGUUUGUAAAUACAGUCGGCCUAUGUCUACCUUUACCCAUUAGGAAAACAUGUUUAGGCCUACAGACACUAGUGCACUUUCUAAAUAAAACUGCAACGAUUUUUGAACAAAAGUUUUUUUUAUUGAGAAGAAAUUAAAAAGUAAACGCAUAGCAGUUAGGUAGGAACAGAAGGUAGGAACAGAAGGGUAAGAUAUACAUUUGAAUAAGAAUAAAAAUAAUGAAUUCAGAAUAAUUCCUCUAUCUCACUGGGUUUAAACCCAGCAUACUGUCCAGUGGGGGAUGGGAACGCAUCCCUAACAGCCCACACCACGCAACUGGGUAAUGCAAGGCGAUUUCCUCGUCCCAGUGGUUGACCUUUGAGGGCCCACUCCAGAAUGACUCGAUAAGCCACAAGUCGGUAUUGACUGAGGGUAACAAAACAUGGAUAGAGCAAAGACUGGGUCAGUAACUACUAGUAAUGAGACGGUGGCACCGUUUUCAAAAACAUAGUCGAGCUACAUGCGAAUUAUACAAAUUGGCAUCUGAAUAUGAAAUACAUUACAUCAAUGUAGCUUACCUAUCUGACAGUUGGCCAUUCGGUCCUUCGGGUGUGGGGCGUUUCUUCCAGUUAAUUUUAGGGACCCAGAAGAAAGUCUCCAGCACGGUUUUAUUUAGGAGAUGGCGCACUUCAUUUAGAGAGAUGCAGGGCGACACAGUCUCGUCGACCGAGACAUUGAGGUUGGCCAUACCAGCUGUGACGACAAGGUCCCACUCCGUGCAGCACCUACUUUCGUGCUCCGUCGGCAUCUGCCUGCACUUCCCACAGGCACACCACCAAUUUCCCGCGAUCCUGGGGACCGCUUCAGCCGGAGCUUCAGGCGCCUCCGUAGCCCUGGCCUCCAUCUCCCGUAGCUCCUCUUGGGUGUAUUCUGGUUCAUACCGAUAUCCUCUGCCGUCAAACUCAAAAUCGAGUGCGUCCUCCAGAAGCCACCUUUCAUAUUCCAUUUUCAAUGAUUUUCCCUAAUCCGAGGUGCUCAAGUCACGGUACAAGACUUCAAACCAACGUAAACAGCCCACCUUUCCGGUUCGGCGGAGUAAUAUCAACGAGCAGUAAUGAGUCUUCCAACUGAAAUCAACUGGCGAUAAAUGUGCAAUAAAACACGACAGAAACCAUAUAUUCCGCCGAUAUUUUUUUUUUAAACUUCACAAAUGCCACUAACCACUCGGUUACUUGCACAUUUUCGAAAACGAACGUUUAGGGUUGCUGGGAUGACAGGUUGGUGUAUGCACACAGACAACCAUUGUGAAGCAGGCAGGAGCGAUUCAAAAUGAGCCAAAUACCCGAGAAAGGACUAAUAGUUAAAAUUUCGGUG